rnacentral:rRNA from 1 species
AAGGGCACCACAAGAACGCGUGGAGCAUGUGGCUCAAUUUGACUCAACGCGGGAAAUCUUACCGGGUCCGGACACACUGAGGAUUGACAGGUGUUUGUGGUUUGUCCCUCGUUGGACUUUCCACUAUAAAUAUGCUAGUCCUUUCAUGAUUGUGUGAUAGGUGGUGCAUGGCCGUUCUUAGUUCGUGGAGUGAUCUGUCUGCUUAAUUGCGUUUCACAAUGGGCUUUCUAUCUUCUAUCUGUUGCGCUUGACUUGCCCUCGUGGUAUUGUCUUGUCGCACGGUAGUAGGAACUGCCCUGAAGGCAACGAACGUGACCGCAACCUCUUGUUGCCUCCUUUUUUCAACAAAACAUGGGUGUGUUUCUACCUUGUGUCGAUCGCACCCUGCACGGAGUUUUUGCAAACUAGAGGGACCGCUGACAACUUUUAAAACAGAGGAAGGUUGCGGCAAUAACAGGUCUGUGAUGCCCUUAGAUGUUCCGGGCUGCACACGUGCUACAAUGAUUAUUGCAGUGAGCAUGUAACUUUACAAGACAUGGAUUUGUGUUUGGUGUUCCGCACCUUACACAAUCCGGUCACCGACCUGCUUCGAAAGUAAGCAGGUAAUCAAUUCGAAGUAAUGAUUUCCUUUUCGCACAUACUUAUAUCGCCUGUAUUUGAACCGCCUGGCUCAGCUUGCUGUCCCUUGUCGCUUGUUCCAGGUGAUAUGUGCUCCAUUAAUUCAUGGUGGGGACAGACCAUUGUUAAUUGUUGGUCUCGGUCUCAACUAGGAAUGCCUUGUACGGGUCUUUGGUUCAACAAACCACCCGGAAUAUGUCCCUGCCCUUUGUACACACCGCCCGUCGCUCUUACCGAUGGACUUCUCUGUGAGUAUAGAGGACUGGCUAGCUACUUGUUUAGCAAGCUAUGGAAAUCUACGCGAACAGCGAGGUCUAAAGGAAAGAGAAGUCG